UCCCUGGUGGCUCAGAGGUUAAAGCAUCUGCCUGCAAUGUAGGAGACCUGGGUUUGAUCCCUGGGUUGGGAA
rnacentral:tRNA from 1 species